GGGGCCGUAGCUCAGUUGGCCAGAGCGCCUGCCUUGCACGCAGGAGGCCCGGGGUUCGACUCCCCGCGGCUCCA
rnacentral:tRNA from 1 species